AGUCCAGAUUGCAGGCUGCAACUCGCCUGCAUGAAGUCGGAAUUGCUAGUAAUCGUGGAUCAGCAUGCCACGGUGAAUACGUUCCCGGGCCUUGUACACACCGCCCGUCACACCAUGGGAGUCGGUAACACCCGAAGUCGGUAGCCUAACCGUAAGGAGGGCGCCGCCGAAGGUGGGAUUGAUGACUGGGGUGAAGUCGUAACAAGGUACC
rnacentral:rRNA from 1 species